GAUGAACGCUGGCGGCGUGCCUAAUACAUGCAAGUCGAGCGAACAGACGAGGAGCUUGCUCCUCUGACGUUAGCGGCGGACGGGUGAGGAACACGUGGAUAACCUACCUAUAAGACUGGUAUAACUUCGGGAAACCGGAGCUAAUACCGGAUAAUAGAUGGAACCGCAUGGUUCGAUAGUGAAAGACGGUUUUGCUGUCACUGAUAGAUAGAUGCGCGCCGCAUUAGCUAGUUGGUAAGGUAACGGCCUACCAAGGCGAGGAUGCGUAGCCGACCUGAGAGGGUGAUCGGCCACCUUGGAACUGAGACAGGGUCCAGAGUACUACGGGAGGGAGCAGUAGGGAAUCUUACGCAGUGGGCGAAAGUCUGACGGAGUAAGGCCGCGUGAGAGAUGGAGGUCUUCGGAUCGUAAAACUCUGUUAUUAGGGAAGAACCAAUGUGUACGUAACUAUGCACGUCUUGACGGUACCUACUCAGAAAGCCACGGCUAACUACGUG
rnacentral:rRNA from 1 species